UGUGAAUCCUUUGUCAGUUUAAAAUUCCUUUGCUGUUCUGCCACUUUCUUUGUUUCUUUAUGCUCCUGUUUUUCCUUGUAACUGAAAACAUCAGAUGACCAUGAGGGAUGAAUAUGCAGCGGUGCUGCCUCCCAGGAUGCGUAGCUGCAGCCUCUAAGCCCAGUGUUACGCAGCAGUCAGGAUCCACGUGGCCAAUUGUUUUGCAGACAUAGUGGUGGCGUAUUUAUGUAUUUCUGAACUUGUUUUUCAGGCUCUGUGGCCGCCUGCAUAUCAUGAAGCUCGCUGCUUGACAACAGAAAUAAAGCACUUGUCAGGCAGAAGCAAUGCGUCAGUGCAAAAUGGAAUUCGCAAGACUAAAGUUUACACGAGGCAACAACAAAAUCUACUGUGCCAUUCUGUUAGGCAACAAAGCUGAAAGAGAGAGUCUGGAAGCAAUCUCUUCCUGAGAGCUGCAAGGGAGAGAGUGGGCUCGAGCUUCACUGAUGAAUUAAUGCAGGAGAAAUAAGGAAUCAAGACUGUGCCACAUGGCCUGGAGAGGACUAAGCUGAAGAUGUGUUGGUAACCUUUGUCCUUGCAAUCUGUGGGGUUGGUUCUGGUUUUUCAGUGUAUGUGUAACAUUGUACCUUGUGCAUGAUAUUCUGCAAUAACCAUAGUCAAGCAAACAGUGUAAUUCCAUGAGU
rnacentral:lncRNA from 13 species